UACGUAGGUCCCGAGCGUUGUCCGGAUUUAUUGGGCGUAAAGCGAGCGCAGGUGGUUUAUUAAGUCUGGUGUAAAAGGCAGUGGCUCAACCAUUGUAUGCAUUGGAAACUGGUAGACUUGAGUGCAGGAGAGGAGAGUGGAAUUCCAUGUGUAGCGGUGAAAUGCAUAGAUAUCACGCAGAACUCCGAUUGCGAAGGCAGCGUACCGGCACCCAACUGACGCUGAGGCACGAAAGCGUGGGGAUCAAACAGG
rnacentral:rRNA from 1 species